rnacentral:rRNA from 1 species
GGGGCUUUUAGCUCCGGCGCAAAGAGAGGCCCAAGUGAGAUUAGCUAGUUGGUAAGGUAACGGCUUACCAAGGCGACGAUCUCUAGCUGUUCUGAGAGGAAGAUCAGCCACACUGGGACUGAGACACGGCCCAGACUCCUACGGGAGGCAGCAGUGGGGAAUAUUGCACAAUGGGGGAAACCCUGAUGCAGCCAUGCCGCGUGUGUGAAGAAGGCCUUCGGGUUGUAAAGCACUUUCAGUUGUGAGGAAAAGUUAGUAGUUAAUACCUGCUAGCCGUGACGUUAACAACAGAAGAAGCACCGGCUAACUCCGUGCCAGCAGCCGCGGUAAUACGGAGGGUGCGAGCGUUAAUCGGAAUUACUGGGCGUAAAGCGCACGCAGGCGGUUUGUUAAGCUAGAUGUGAAAGCCCCGGGCUCAACCUGGGAUGGUCAUUUAGAACUGGCAGACUAGAGUCUUGGAGAGGGGAGUGGAAUUCCAGGUGUAGCGGUGAAAUGCGUAGAUAUCUGGAGGAACAUCAGUGGCGAAGGCGACUCCCUGGCCAAAGACUGACGCUCAUGUGCGAAAGUGUGGGUAGCGAACAGGAUUAGAUACCCUGGUAGUCCACACCGUAAACGCUGUCUACUAGCUGUGUGUGCCUUUAAGGCGUGCGUAGCGAAGCUAACGCGCUAAG